AUUGAACGCUGGCGGCAUGCCUUACACAUGCAAGUCGAACGGUAACAGGUCUUCGGAUGCUGACGAGUGGCGAACGGGUGAGUAAUACAUCGGAACGUGCCUAGUAGUGGGGGAUAACUACUCGAAAGAGAGGCUAAUACCGCAUGAGAUCUACGGAUGAAAGCAGGGGAUCGCAAGACCUUGUGCUACUAGAGCGGCCGAUGGCAGAUUAGGUAGUUGGUGGGAUAAAAGCUUACUAAGCCGACGAUCUGUAGCUGGUCUGAGAGGACGAUCAGCCACACUGGGACUGAGACACGGCCCAGACUCCUACGGGAGGCAGCAGUGGGGAAUUUUGGACAAUGGGCGAAAGCCUGAUCCAGCAAUGCCGCGUGCAGGAUGAAGGCCUUCGGGUUGUAAACUGCUUUUGUACGGAACGAAAAGCCCCGGGUUAAUACCCUGGGGUCAUGACGGUACCGUAAGAAUAAGCACCGGCUAACUACGUGCCAGCCGCCGCGGUAA
rnacentral:rRNA from 1 species